rnacentral:rRNA from 1 species
UACGGAGGGUGCAAGCGUUAUCCGGAUUUACUGGGUUUAAAGGGUGCGUAGGCGGGCCUGUAAGUCAGUGGUGAAAUCUUCCCGCUUAACGGGAAAACUGCCAUUGAUACUAUAGGUCUUGAAUUCAGUUGAGGUGGGCGGAAUGUGUCGUGUAGCGGUGAAAUGCUUAGAUAUGACACAGAACACCGAUCGCGAAGGCAGCUCGCUAAACUGACAUUGACGCUGAGGCACGAAAGCGUGGGGAUCAAACAGG